AAUCAACGCUGGCGGCGUGCCUAAUACAUGCAAGUCGAACGAGAAAGUCCCCGCAAGGGGAUGAGUAAAGUGGCGAACGGGUGAGUAACACGUGACUAACCUGCCCUUGAGUGGGGGAUAACCCCGGGAAACCGGGGCUAAUACCGCAUAACAUCGCGAGUCCGCAGGGACAUGCGAUCAAAGGAGCAACACGCUCAAGGAGGGGGUCGCGGCUGAUUAGCUAGUUGGUGAGGUAACGGCUCACCAAGGCGAUGAUCAGUAUCCGGCCUGAGAGGGCGCACGGACACACUGGAACUGAAACACGGUCCAGACUCCUACGGGAGGCAGCAGUGGGGAAUUUUGCGCAAUGGGGGAAACCCUGACGCAGCAACGCCGCGUGGAGGAUGAAGUCCCUUGGGACGUAAACUCCUUUCGACCGGGACGAUAAUGACGGUACCGGUGGAAGAAGCCCCGGCUAACUUCGUGCCAGCAGCCGCGGUAAUACGAGGGGGCAAGCGUUGUUCGGAAUUAUUGGGCGUAAAGGGCGCGGU
rnacentral:rRNA from 1 species